UGAUUGCAGAUUCAUUCAGAACCAAAAUAAAGUUCAGUAAUUUCAAAGCAAACAAGUUAACAUUUGACAGUGAAUCUAAUUGGACCUGCAAAUAUUUUAUAAUUUUAUUAAGCCUCAUAAAAUGAUAUUUAAACAGUUGGUACAAUAACCAGUUACAAUUGACAUUGGUACAAAUCUCUCAGCAUGUAUUGUUCGGGGUUGAGGGGGGUGGAAUACACCACUUUAUUAUAAUGAAAAAUAAUUGCUUAAGAGAACAUGAUGUAGUGUGUUUUUAACGUGCAUGACUAAGCUGCAGGUUCCGUACAUUUGGAGUGAAUGGGUUGAUGAUGCUUGAUGCCAUUUCCCUGCAAUUGGAAUUAUCAAGGUGAACUAGGCUUUCCCACCGUCUGUAAGGAGGAGCACGACUAUUUCGAUUGCUAUGGGAAUGGGGAAUUAGAGGAAUGCAGAAUUUCCUCUGCAACGUUAAGCUGAAGGAGUUUAUAAUGUUAGAAAGGGAAAAGGCCUUUAUUUGAUGUGAUUUCAUACCGGAGUUGUUGACUGGGAGAAAUUUAAUCCAAGACCUGAGUUAGUGGAUGGGUAGGGGUGUGGUAAAGGUCCCACAGUUUCGGAUGACCUGCAGUUUAGAGGUUGGAAUUUAGUGGUCAAAAGGAAAAAAAUCUGACAUCGUUGAAUGGUGCCGACAAAGGCGUGAAUGUGGAUUUUUAGGGCAAUAAUUAACAACGUUAAGAAAAUAACCUACUUUCCCUAAAGCUCCUGCAGCCGCCAUCUCCUGGUGCAUACACAGAAAUGCACAUGAUGCUCGCCCCGACCAGCAACCUUGAGCGUCUCGAAGCCCUUCCCGCACAAACAGCAUGUUUUUUUUUGUGUGACCACUCCAGAAACCAGGGUAAUCAGUUAAAAUCCAGCACUUAUAUUAAGGUUUAAAAAACAAAUUAAUCGAACAGAAAACGCUUCCUCGAACAUUUUAAAUACUUAUUUAAUAACCCAUCGCACUUGCACGUUAGCAAAGUAGCGAACUACAUAGUGUAUUACAGUGAAAUAUCGCAAACAUCGAUUGGCAAAUAAUUUUAUAGAUGGCUAAAUAUGUGCACUCAAUGAAAUUCAGUCCUGGGUAAAGUCCGUGAAUGGACAGGGUAAACAUCUUUAAUUUUAAAGUAACAUGCCUUCAAUCGAUGUGCAGCAUAUCCCGCCCAGUGACAGACGAAGAAAACUGCCAUAACUAUAAAACAGGAGACCCACCCCCUCCACCUUCGAACUGCCCUUUUCUUAUAAAGCUACUAUCGUUCGGAAGUAUGAUCCCAGUCCUACAAACAAGGAAAUAUGGAUGCUCUUUCGGGCGGAGGGGAAGACUCCAUUAAUUAUGCAGGUCAUACAGAUUACUUGAAAGGAUGUUGUUUUCAACCAUCUCAUGGGAGGAAGGAUUCGAGGGUUGAUGUGCCUGUACCAUUUUGUUCGGAGAGAUGGAAUUUGGGGGUUCCUACUGGAACGAUGCUUUGCUCUGCUUGUCUUGUGUUCUGUUGGAUAUUGGUCUUCUGUUGAGAUCCAACAAGUCACUGAUAACCAUGUCAUUUGUGGAAAAAGAUACUAUUGUUUCGGGAAAAGAUGUGCAUUAUGUGGUAUGUGCUAAUUGGAGGCCUAUAGGUGUGAGAGAAUAUUGUAAACCUAGAGAGACUGGCCUCCUACGACUUCUUCCUGUGAAACAAGUGAAGUGCCAAAUUUAUGGUAAUUUGACUCUUGCAUCCCUGAUCUCAGUGUAGUGUUUGUAAAUCUUCCUCAUUCUGUUCCAAUUGAACAAGAUGUUGUUACUGCCCCCUAGGGAUGAGGAUAUACUUUGUAUAUUUUAAUGGGAAUAUUGAGGUGAAUCAUUGGAUCUGUAUAAAUUUUCAUAUUUUAGUAAUUGUGGUAAUAUUAGUUUUAAUCAUCCAAUGGAUAUUAAUAUGUAUUGUAUUAUUAAUGUUAAUAUUAAUACAAACCAGAUCCCCAGCUAUGGGUAGAUAGCCCCACAGCCUCGGGAGAGACAAAGGCUACAAGCGUAAACCCAGACAGAAAAUCCGGAGUGGCUGGAUGUCACUGAACAUCCUUCCAGCAGCUCUGACAGCCAAUCUAGUGCCAAGCGCGUUGUUUGGCUUUCAUUUGGACUUUCCUUGAGGCCGAGGGGAGGGUCUUGACGACCGAGCAUCCCAAGAUCUCUUUACUCCAGUGCCAUUGUUCGUUCCAUUGUCCUUCGAGUCCAAUGGAUGGCAUCAUUGUCGUCUUCGUUUUAAGCAGAAGGAAGAGUUCAAUGAGUCUUUAUUCUGUCCAGACAUUCAAAGGCUGAAAUGUGUUAUAUUGAAUUUUUUAAAAUAUUGGUUGAAUGUCUGAACAGUUCAAAAUGAUAAUUCAGUGUUUUGUGAGCUUGGAGCAGGUAAUAUAGAGUGUCUGUUCAAGAUAAACACUGUAGGACUGUUAAUGACUGCCGGUGGAUUUUUCUUAGUGUCGGUUACCAUUAACAUCAGUGUGAUAUCCUGGUUUAAGAACAUGCUUUAUUGUAUUAAUGCUAUUGGGUUUUUUUUCCUGAAGAUUUUCUCAAAAUGCAAUGUGUUCCGUUAAUUACAUUGUACAAUUGUUUUUGCUGUUUAAAAUAAUAAUUCAGUUGAUUAAGUUAAGGUUGCUGUAAUAGCCAAUAGGAUUUAUCUUGUUAACAUCUUAUCCAGUAAGAUGCCCCGGAAUGUUCUAGAGGGAUCUGGGGAUAGCCAUUUUCUGGAGAGAGUGCAGGAGUUUUGGAAGAAGAAGAUGAAGGAGAAAGAAUGAAAAUGGACAACAAAUAUAAUAGAAGAACAUGAACUCAUUUGGAAGGGCACGUACUGCUGUCAAAAAAUCCUCUUGCAGUUGGACAAUAGUCUCACAGAGAAUGUGCAGGUAACUUUUAAUUAGCUAGUUAUCACACAACCUCGGAGAAAGUUCGAUGCCUUAGACAUUGCUUGGAUGUUUAUGUUUCGCUUAGACUAUGUUUUCAGGCAGAAUUGUUUGGUACUGUGAGCAAACGAAGUGAAGCAAGCAGGAUUGAUUACGCAACAAUGUGCUCCAUUGAUCAUGUGAACACUAUAAGCUAAUUAAUAUAUGUGUAAUAGGCCUUUUUCUUUAUUAUGUUUGUUACAGUUUAAAAUAUUUGUCAAUACAACUUUAAGCUUAUACUGGUGUGAGUUAACUUAUUGCUUCCUGACUAACAGUAAAUGUACAUGGGUAUGCCAGUAUUCAUCCAAAUAACAGUCCAACUUUCCAUUAAAGGAACUUUCAAACUUCUAUGUUCGUUUGCAUUCACAGUACUAGCUAAUUCAUUAUGAGCUUCCGGCGAGAUGGUUACAUGAGGAUGUCUGUUAAUGACUAAAUGUCUGUUGUUGGUCAUUUUGACAGCUAGGUUGAUAGAUUGUUUCUUAAGGUCUGUCAAACUGGCUUGAUGGAUUUAUUUUUGCAUUUGGGCUUAUCGCUGAUAUGUAAUAUUAAUGUUCUUCUGUAACUAAAUGAAUGUUAAGUCCAAAAUAUUGGUGGCAGGGUGGAUAAAGAGUGACCAAUAAAGUGUCUAAUUGAUCUUAAGGGUAUGCUGAACACUGUGGUGAUACUUGAGUUGCUUGAAUGAAAGAAACCAGGCUGAGUUAACGGCAUGAGAACAAAAGAUCAAAGAGUUUGUAUGUCUCUCUCUGUAGCUCAUUUAUUGGGGUACCUUUCUUUCGGUUCGUCAGACUUCAUCUAGACCUGGAAUCGCGAUCUAGGACCCAAGGUGGUUUCAUGAGUGAGUCAGAAUUUGGAGUUCCCUUGACAACGGUAACAAUCGGUGGUGACUAAGAAUCUUGAGCCCUGAAAUUUUUGUGACUUAUUAUGGAAUAUUUUCUGAGGUUCACUUGUACAUUUUGUUUUAUAAUAAAACGUGUUUUCUUCAUUGUGCUUGUGCACUUAUUACCACAUCUCCUGGGCACUCAAAUUAUUUCGGUCUAAUCAACCCCAAUCAUUACAGAUGCUUUUGAUAAGGCUUCGAUAAAAAUUGGUAAGGGUUGAUGUGGUUAUGCCAAAUUUCUUUGAUCUCCUGAGGAAGUAGAGGCAGCUAGUGAGCUUUCUUGGCUGUGGCUGGCCCAACAAAGGUAAUGCUCACUUCUAGGCACUUAAAUCUCCCUCUUGGCCUCAGCAGCCUUGAUGAAGACAGGAGCAUGUGCAGCACCCACUUUCUUAAGUCAACAAGCAACUAUUUUGCUUUCAUUAAAGAUUUUGCAUCUUCAAUAAAUUUACCUGUAGGUAACCAGCUGUUCCAGUUCUGAUGAAAGGUUAUCAUCCUGAAAUAUUGACUUCUAUGUAUUGACUUCUAUGAAAUCUUGACUUCUAUUGACUUAUAUGAAUAGAUUAUUAUUGAUUUUUAUGAAUGUUAGUUAUAAUUUACUGUCUUUACAUGUGCUAUCAAAUCUGCUGAGGAGUUCCAUUUCAGAUUUUCAGCAUCUGCAUUGUUUGCUUUGCACAAUUCUGGUACUUUGACUUUCUUUUGCCUUUUUUUUUCAAUGCUCUAUGUUCUCUGUUUUCAUUAAUGUCUCAUUUAGGCUUCCUCCUAUCAACUGUGGUUAUGGAGCCAUUUAAAAGCUGAAACCACUGCCACUCAUGUCAUUCAGUCUCAGCUGGUCUCUACCCUUUCGCAGACGUCCUCUUUGUUUUCUUUCUCCAGCCCUCUCCCUCUUCCUCAAAUGCUGCCCGACCUGUAGAAAUCCCCAGCUUUUAUUUCAGAUUUCUGGAAUCUGUAAGCUUUUGGUUUUCAACAACAACAACAACAUGAAUAUGUGGUGACUGGCUACAGAGGAAAAGCAUAGAGGACAUUGCCAUGAUUAAAUGCUACAUUGUCAGGGCAAAUCAAAGACCGUGGCUAACCGCAAAGGUGCAUGAACUGCUAAGGAAUUGGGACACUGCCUUUAGAUCUGCAUUCUCCUGUACCAUCAGGAAGGCAAAAUGUGAGCAUGCCCCUAAAAUUCAGCCACCUUUGUGACGCCGGGAACACACUGCACAUGUGGCAAGGUAUACAAACCACGAACGAUUACAAGUCCACCUUGUGAGUCAACACCCAUGCCUCCCUUCCUGAUAAGCUGAACGCUUUCUACGCAUGAUGUGACACUGAGGAAAGCCCCCUCGCUUCCCAAGGAACAGGCACCCUGACUGGCCACAGCAGAGGAGAGUAGGAUCCUAGCCAGGGAAAACCCAUGUAAAGCUGCAGGGCUGGACAACAUUCCUAGUCAGAUGCUGAGGAACUGUGUGGCCCAGCUAACAGAGGUUCUGACAAAUAUCUUUAAUAUCUCUUUGAAACGGUCCACUGUCCCUGCAGGCUUCAAGGCACCCACCAUCGUUCUGGUGCCCAAGAAAGCAGAGGUAACUGGAGUAAAUGAUUACCUCCCAGUGGUACUGACUUCAACAAUUGUGACGUGGUUUGAGCAGUUGGUAGUGAAUCAUAAAGUCCCACCUUCCAGUUGGACCCUUUCCAGUUGCCUACCGUUCAAACCGCCCACUGACAAUGCCAUAACCUGGACCCAGCACUACAUCCUGAUCCCCUUAGAAAACGACGUCUCAUACGCCACGGUGUUGCUCAGCUCAGCGUUUAAAAUAAUCACCCCUCAGAGGCUGCUGAGUAAACUGUCCUUGUUUGGAAUCAACACUUCUCUCUGUAACUGGAUUGUGGAAAGACCCCGGUCAGUUUGAGUUGGCAGCAACAUCUCAAGCUCCAUCACACUCUGCACUGAUGCUACCCCUCACGCCCCCAGGGUUGUGUGCUCAGUCGGCUGCUGUUCACGCCGCUGACUCACAACUGCAUUGCCAGAGUCGACUCAAACUGUAUCAUCAAGUUCACUGAUAAUACUACAGUGCCUGGCCUCAUCAGCAACAAUGAUGAGUUGGCACACAGAAAGGCUUGUCAAAUGGUGUGAGAAUAACGACCUUGGUCUCAACAUGGACAAGACAAAAGAGAUGAUUAUGAGCUUCACAAAUUCGUAGGUCCAUUGCACAUCAAUGGCUCUCCCGUGGAGAGAGUGAGGAGCAGAAAUUCCUUGGUAUGCAUAUAAUGGACAAUCUAACCUGGACUCAUUGUUCUGCCUUUGGAGACACAAAGACUCAGCAGGGCCUAAACUUACUGAGGAGAAUGAGGUGUGCAAGGCUUCCUGCCCCCAUUCUGCAGGAGCACCAUCAAGAGUGUCCUGUCCGGUUGCUUCAUUGUGUGGUACAGAUGGUACAGGUACACACUUAUGAGGACAGUAAAAAUUACCGAGAGCAUCAUCAGGUUCUCCCUCCCAUCUAUUUGUUUCAUUUACUGAUGAAGAACCCAAUACAGUGUUGAGGACCCGUACCACCCAUCCUACAAUCUCUUUGACCCACUACAAUAAGGUUCAGAAGCAUCAGGUCUAGGACUGUCAGACUGGGUAACAGCUUCUUUCCUCAGGCUGUGAGACUAAUGAAUGCCCUCCACCACUGAGUCCUCAUCACUAGGAUAGUAAGCUGUUUAUUGUUUACCUGUGCUGUGCUUUACUACAUGCAUUUUGAAUUGUAUGUCAUGAACUUAUUUAUAGUAUAAUAUUCUGGUUUAUGUGCAGUGUGUGAUAGUACUUUGUGUGGGUGCAGCAUGGUCCGGAGGAAUGCUGUUUCAUUUGGUUGUAUACAUGUCCAGUCAGAUGACAUUAAACUGGAACUUGAACUGAACAGAAGCAUUGUGGCAAAUAUCCAAAAGUAGUUCAUAAGAAUAUUAACACUAAAUCUUUACUUCUUCCUACAUAAGAAGACAUUUGGACAGUAAACCAAAACACUUUGGUGACUGGAAUCAUGUCUUCCACAAAGAAAAUGGGCAUAGUUGUAGGAUUUCAAUUAUCCAACCCAGGACAUCGCUGCAGGAGUUCCUCAGAGUGAAGCUAUAGGCCUGAACACCAUCUGCUGCUUCUCCAUGAUCUGAGGUCAGAAGAGGAGAUAUUCACAAUGUUAGCACAAUGUUAAAUCCUGUUCACAAUUCCUUAGGAAUAAAGCAGCCCAUGACUACAUUCAACAAGACUUGGACCAGCAUUCUGGUAUGGGUUAAUGUUUUCUGCCACAGAAGUCCCAAACACGAGAAAGUCUAACCAUUUACUCUUGACAUUCAAUGGCAAUUCCAUCAACAAGUCUCCACCAUCAACUUCCUGGGAUAAAUAUUAACUGAAACAGGACCAAAUAAUUAUUGUGGCUACAAAAGCAGACCAGUUACUUUUUAGACUGCACCUCCAAAAAACCUCGACCUUUAACACCAAGAUGGUCAAGGAUUAUAAGAACACCAUUAUCAUCUAACUUUUGCCUAGGUCACCUAUGCCAAAAAGGUCAAAGGGUAGAGGCCAAAGUAAGAGUGGUCCACCAGUCCUCCAGGGAUUCAGCUCAGGGCUAACAACCCUGACUGGUAAAACAAAAUUGUUAUGGAAACAGGAAUGAAGAAUCCUUCUACAUCUGUGCGAGAUGGUAUUCCUGAAUCUCCACCCGGGACUUGUAUGACUGACAAUAGUGAAAACCGAGAGGAAACUGCUGACAUGAUGAAUGAAGCCCUGAAUGCUGCCAGAGAUAGAGGACCUUCAUUGCUGCCCUGAACACCAAUGACAUAAUGGGCAGGAAGUACAUAAGAAAAUAAUAAAUAAUUUGUAUUUUACUAGCAUCUUUAACACCAGUGAACUUUCCAAAGGGCUUUGCAAGAGUGAAGUAUCUAUUGUCUAGCAAAAACAGUUAAUUUAGUCACAAAUUCUUUUAUGUAGCGUAACGUUUUUCUGCACUAGAUUAUAUUUAGAACACUAAUCACACAGCAUACCUUAAGGAUUUACUGGUUCUCUGAUAUCCACGUAUUUUGUUUCUCUGAGUGUUUAACACACUGCCAGAUACAUUAGCAUUUGGUUAUGUGCAGUGCUAUAUAAUGUAUAACUGGAUGUGACUGUCAUAAUUUUUAUUGAUACGUGCUUCAUGUAUGAAUCAAUGAAUCCAAUGAACAAGUGUACAGUUGGGCCUCACAUUCUGUAUGUCUGCUGCAGGCAAUUUGCAUAAAAGCAAAACAAUACAAUACAUCUACAGUUGGCUUGGUGCAAAUUUGCUGAUGAUACAACCAUUGUUGGCAGAAUUUCAGAUGGUGACGAAAGGGUGUACAGGAGCGAGAUAUACCAGUUAGUUGAGUGGUGUCACAGCAAUAAUCUUGCACUCAGCGGUAGCAAGACCAAAGGAUGAUUGUGGACUUCAGAUAGGGGAAGAUGAGGGAACACGUUCCAAUUUUCAUAGAGGAUCAGAAGUAGAGAGAGUGAGCAGUUUCAAAUUCCUGGGUGUCAAUAUCUCUGAGGACCUAACUUGGAUGCAACAUAUUGAUGCAGCUAUAAAGCAGGCAAGACAGCAGCUGUAUUUCAUUCGGAGUUGGAGGAGAUUUGGUUUGUCAACUAAAAUAGUCGAAAACUUCUACAAAUGUACCGUGGAGAGCUGCAUCACUGUUUGGUAUGGGUGAGGGCUAUUGCACAAGUUUGAAGUAAGUUGCAGAAACUUAUAAAAUUCCUCUGGGUUUUUUGCGCUACUUAUUUUAACUUAACUAUUUAAUAGAGAUAUAUAUACUUACUGUAGUUCAGUAUUUUUAAUUUAUAUUUACCAUUUAUGUCAUUGUUCUGCUGCCAUAAAGUUAACAAAUUUCAUGACAUAUGCUGGUGAUAUUAAACCUGAUUCUGCAUUAAAAGAGACUCUGCCUGUGUCCAGCAGUAGCAAAUCCAAUAAACCUACCCCCUCUUUGGUUUGUUCAUAACACUGACUGCUUCACAACUCUGCACUCUGCACCCCAACCCAUCCCCAAGUGACUACCAUUUAAACCCUGAGUAGGUGAACAUCAUAGAUUCUGCAGACACUGGAAUUCCAGAGCAACACACACAAGAUGCUGGAGGAACUCAGCAGGUCAGGCAGCAUCUUUAGAAAUGAACGGUCAACAUUUCAGACUGAGACCCUUCAUUGGCCCUGUUUAUUCCUCUUCACAGAUGCUGCUUGCUGAGUUCCUCCAGCAUUUAGUAGGUAAAUGCAGCUUUGCCCAUCAAUUUUUUGAUCCAUUUUGGGUCAUUUCUUUUCCCUGACUCUAACCCUUCUCUAACCAUCUCUCUCCAUGUGAAUCAGAUAUAUGCAAUCUAUCAAUUUUAAUUCACUAUGUUCACAAUGUGUUUCAUUGUGCAUAUUGCCUAGGGCCUUAUGUAUAAAGAUGUGUUACUAAGAAAACAUGCCAUGCACUGCUUGUUUAAUGGACCCUUCCAGACAUGAAAGGAUUUCUUGACCGGAAUCUAUUUAAACAGCAGAGAAACAGAACUUAUUACAGAAGCUGCAACAGCUCUCAUGACAUAAGGAUAAUUUAUACAGAAAAAUCCAAUGAUUUAUUUACAAAUUACUGUAUAGGCAUGAAAUUAAUCUCAGUCAUUUGCAGCUGUCCUGAUUGAAAGGGAAAUUAACACUAUCAUCUCAUUUGUGCCAGGGACCAGCAUCACUUUCAAAUUCAAAGUUCAAAGUACAUUUAGUAUCAAAGUAUAUUACAACCUUGAGAUUCAUCUCCUGACAGUUGGCCAGAAAACUAAGAAGCCCAAAAGAACACUGUCAAACACCCAAUGUGCAGAGGGAAUAAAGCGCGUCAUGGAAACAAUAAAACCAAGCAAAUAGAUCACAGACUCUUAGUUCAGUGUAGAGCGAAGCAGUGAGCUGAACCGGCCCAUCCCUCACCCUGGCACCCUGUUCUUUUCAAUCUGGCUGGGCAACUAACUCUGGGGCCUGGUCCCCAACGCCUCUCUUUGGCCUUUACCCAGCCUUUUCAAUAUGGCCCGGCACUUAAAUUGUCAUCCAAAUGUCAGAGUUCAUUGAUUCAUGCUGGGGCCUGGACCCCUCUGCCUCAACUCGGUCUGUACGCAACCUUUCCGAUUUGGCCCAGCGCUUAAAUCAUUGUCUAAGCAUUGGGUUCAGUCGCUUGCAUAUGCUCUGAUGCUUGGACCUCAUCACCUUGACUCGGCCUGAGCCCAAUCUUUCCAAUUUGGCCCAACGCUUAAAUCGAUCGAACCUUGAGUCUUUCCUCGCUCUUGGCGACAGACCCACUGCCUCGCCUUGCCACAUCAAAUUGAUCAUAACUCUUGGAUUUCAAAAUGGAGACACAAGAAAGGCAGCAGACACUGCAAUGCAGAAGCACACAAAAAGAAAGUGCUGGAGGAACUCAGGAUGAAGAGUCUUGGCCCAAAACACAGAUUGUUAAUUUCCCUCUAUAGCUGCUCCCUAACCGUUUAAGUUCCUCCAGCAUGUUGUUAUUUUUUAUUGUGCAUUGCUCCACAAUUGCAAAUCUGUUUUGAUACAUUUAUGGCACUGUCAUCAAAUGACCUAAAAUCUAGAGAGAAAAAGAAAUAUAACGUUCUAUUGUUAGGAUGAAACAAGGUGGGAGUCAGCUCACAUAGAGUUAACUGUUCUCUCCUGUAAAUCUUAAAUAUGAAAAUAAUGAUAAUGAUUAAGAGCUCAUUUUCCUGUCUAUUUUAGCACAUUUUGAAAUAUUUCUGUUUAGAGAGUAACGGGACUAACAUGAUUGAAUGAUGUCAGUAGGUGAUAUGAGGUACAGUAUCUCACUUUAAAAUGUGAUUUAAGGCUGUAUGACAAUGCACCAACUCAAAUUCCUAUUUAGAGCAUGUCAUCUAGUAGCCUGAAGUGGCUAUAAUCAAUUAUAUACCAAGUUGGUAGCACGUCUACGCUUAUUAUUAUUUGCAUCUUUUGCAGUCUUUCUUUAUCAGUGAAACAAUUUCUUCCCCUCAUGGUAAGUAUCAACAAAAAGUAAACCAUCAUUUAUGGAUUCAUUUUGCAACUGUCAACAAAGCAUCAUAAAUUCCCCAUGAUACAAACUACAAUACAUAAUUAUAAUAACUGUUCAAUAUCUACCUCCCUCACCUCUGAAUCAGAAGGUUGCGUUUUCAAAUCUAGCUUCAACACCUGUGGAGAAACAUCAAGAUUUCCAUUCUAUUGUAGUGCUGAUGCAAGACUGUCAAGAAAUGCAUUACUUUUAUCUGUACAAUUAAAUCCAGAUGUCUGCCUAUCCAUUCAGGUGGACAUAUAAUGUCCCAAGCUACCAUCAAGACCAAGAGCAAGACAAUGUUCUGGCCAAGUUUACCAUCUUUAAUAAACAGGAAAUUCCGGAAGUAUUCAUCAGGGCAGGCGAUACCUGUGAAAAGAGAAACAAAGUUAACAUUUCAGGCCCUUGAAAUUUAAACUUAUAUAUAUUCCAUAAAGUUCCCUGAUCAUAUUUGGAAAGAUGUUGGAGUGCAUUAUUAAGGUUGAGGUUUCGAGGUACUUGGAAGUACAUAUAAAGUAGGCCAAAGACAGCAUAGUUUCCUUAAGAAUUUCAACAGAUAUAUCUGUUGAAAUUCUUUGAGGAAAUAUAGACAGGAUAGACAAAGGGGAGUCAGUGGAUGUUGUUCACUUGGAUUUGCAGAAGGCUUUUGACAACAUGCUGCAUGUGAGUCUGUUUAACAAAGUAAGAGCCCAUGAUGUUACAAGAAAGAUACGAGCAUGGAUAGAAGGUUGGCUGGAGGCAAAGAUUGGAAAUAAAGGGGGGAUUGUCUAGUUGGCUUCUGGAGACUAGUAUUGUUCCACAGGAAUCUGUAUUGGGACUACUUGUUUUCAUAUUAUAUGUCAAUGAUUUGGAUAAUGGAGUUGAUAGCUUUGUGGCCAGGUUUGUGGUUGAUACAAAGAUAGGUGGAGUCAGGAGGACUGCAGAAGGACUUAGUCUUCUGGUUUAAUGGUGCCAUAAAAACAACCACUCAUUCAACAUCAGCAAAACCAUGAAGCUGGCUCUAAACUACAGGAGGAAGAAUCCAGUGGCCCAUGAGCCAGUCCCAUUAGGAAAUCAGAGGUGGAAAAGUUGACUAACUUUAAAUUCCUUGGCGUUAUCAUAUCAGAGGAUCUGUCCUGGAACCCACAUGUAAGUGCCAUCACAAAGAAAGCACAGCAGCACUUCUACUUUCUUAGAAGUUUGUGCAGAUUUGGUAUGUCAUCUAAAACUUUGACAAACUUUAAUAAUUGCACAGUAGAGAGAAAAGGAAAAGUCUACAAGAACUGGUGAUUACAGCCCCAGCAAAGCCCUCCCAUUACUAAUCAUAGUUACAAGAAGCACUGCCUAGGAAAGCAACAUCUAUCACCAAAGACUCACAUAGUCCAGGCCAUGCCCUCUUCUCACUACUAAUAUUGUGCAGGAGAUACAGAAGUCUUAGGCAACCACACCACCAGGUUCAGGAACAAUUAUUAUCUUGAAACUAUCAUACUCCUGCACCAGCAAGGAUAAUUCCACUCAACUCAAUGCUGAACUGAUUCCACAAUUGAUAGACUCUCUUCCAAGGACUCCAUUAUCAUUAUUCUAGUGUAGUAUAGUGUAGUAUUGUUUUUUACUUGCAUAAUUUGUCUUAUUUUGCACAUUCGUUAUUUGUAAAUCUUUGAUAUUAUAAUGUUUCAUAAAUUCUAUUGUAUUUUUAAUUUUUCUUUAAAUGGCUGCAAGAAAAUAAGUCUCAAGUAGUAUGUGGUGAUAUACACAUAUAUUAAUAAUAAAUUUACUUUGACUUUAAGAACAGUUUAAAUUUUGGAUUUUCAACAUCUGCAAUUAAAAACGUUUUAAUUAACACCUGGUUGUUUUCGCUUUGCUGUAAUAGGACCAUGCUAUGUAAAAAAAAUUGUAUACUGUGCUUCCAAUAUUUCAACAGUAUGUCAGUAACUGUGAAAACAUUUUGAGAUAUCUUGAAAGGAAGGCAGAAGAUGCUAUGUAAAUGUUGUGCAUUUAUUAUUUCAGUAAUAUUUGAGUAACAUUGUAAAUAUAUUGUUUAAGUAUUCUGUUUGUUUAAAUAAUUUAUUAUGGGCUAUUUGUAAGAGUAUGUGAAUGGCAUAUUUCAUUAUGCCACCAUAUCAUAAGGGGAUGCCUCACUAAAGUAAAAGCGAAACUAAAGUGCACAGGUUAUGCCGAGCUCCAUGUUUUUCUUUCAAUUAGUUUUAUGUUUUGGAGUUACAGAACAUAGCAGUGACGCUGAAUAAGGUUUAAAACAAAUCCAAGACUACGACCUACGUGUUGAAGUGCAGCAGGUCAUUCGAGAUUUUAAAUAAAGCUUUCUUUGCAAGAGGAGAGAAACAGUGUUGAGAAAGGGGAGAUGGAGUUUGUCAAGUUUCAAAAGCGGCAAAAAAUGGACAAAAUUCAAGAGUUCAUAAACAAAGAGUGCUCCACUAACAGCUGCAGCAUGACUGCAGGUUUGGGCUUUGUUUCUUGGAGGACACAAUUAGAAGAUCAAAUUUUAGAGGAUGACUAACCAUGGAACUGCUGAUGGAUUGUUCAGUUUACCGUUGGAAAAGGAAUGCCUGAAAACUUUACAAAGGAGGUCACUUUUUUGACGUAUUUUUCCUAAUGCAAAUCAAAAGUCUCCUUGCCGCAGUGCUAAUGAUCCAAAGGGAAACCAGAAAAGACUCCACACUGUCUCAGGUCUACAUGUCCACCCAAGGUGGCUGGAAUCUGCAGCAGAAACUCCAGUUCCUCAAUCUUUAACAGUGCCAGAAUGAUCUGACCCUUUUGUGGAGAUUGAGAGUUGUUGUACCAUUCAAACUGAGAGGUUGAGUAUUGGGAGAGUUUCAUGUUGGUCAUCUAGACAUGGUCAAAAAGAACGCAUUGCCUUGAAGCAUUGUCUGGUGGCCUGGGAUAGAUCAGCAGUUCAAGCAGCUUACCCAUGCGAAGCAGCACCUCUGCAUCCUUGGGAAUAGCCUGCAUUACGCUGGCAGAGGGUUCAUGUAGAUUUUGUCAAAUCAUUCAUGGGCACAAAUUUAAUGAUAGUAGUGGAUGCAGCUACAAAGUGGGCAGAUGUGUCCGCAAUAACCUCCACUAUAGCCUUGCACACUGUUAAUGUGCUGAGAAGCCUUUUCUCAAGGAUUGGUGUUCAAGAACACUUAGUCAGUGACAAUGGACCAGAGAACAGAGUGAUCCAGGAAUAAUGGUGCAUAGUUCCCUGAAGGUGGAAUCUCAUGUGGAUAGGGUGGUGAAGAAAGCUUUUGGUAUGUUGGCCUUUAUAAAUCAGAGCAUUGAGUAUAGGAGUUGGGAUGUAAUGUUAAAAUUGUAAAAGGCAUUGGUAAGGCCGAAUUUGCAGUAUUGUGUACAGUUCUAGUCACCGAAUUAUAGGAAAGAUGUCAACAAAAUAGAGAGAGUACAGAGAAGGUUUACUAGAACGUUACCUGGGUUUCAGCACCUAAGUUACAGGGAAAGGUUGAAUGUUAGGUCUUUAUUCUUUGGCGAGUAGAAGGUUGAGGGGGGACUUGAUAGAGGUAUUUAAAAUUAUGAGGGGGAUAGAUAGAGUUGACGUGGAUAGGCUUUUUCCAUUGAGAGUAGGGGAGAUUCAAACAAGAGGACAUGAGUUGAGAGUUAGGGGGCAAAAGUUUAAGGGUAACACGAGGGGGAAUUUCUUUACUCAGAGAGUGGUAGCUGUGUGAAACGAGCUUCCGGUAGAAGUGGUAGAGGCAGGUUCGGUAUUGUCAUUUAAAGUAAAAUUGGAUAGGUAUAUGGACAGGAAAGGAAUGGAGGGUUAUGGGCAGAGUGCGGGCCAGUGGGACUAGGUGAGAGUAAGCGUUCAGCACGGACUAGAAGGGCCGAGAUGACCUGUUUCCGUGCUGUAAUGGUUAUACGGUACGUUGUGUGAACAGCUGGAAGAUGACUGUGAUUUUGUGAGUUGGGUAGAAGGUACAAGUGCCUCAUGACUCGCACCACAUGGUUCAAGAACAGUUACUACCCCUCAAUCAUCAGGCUCGAGAACAAAACGGGAUAACUACACUCAUUUAAAGACUCUGACAUAUUGCUGUUUCAUGCUAUUUAUUGCUAGUUAUAUCUGAAUUUGCACAGUUUGUUUACAGUUAACAGUUCCUGAUGGUUACAGCUUACAGUUACUGUUCUAUAGAUUUGCUAAGUAUGCCCGCAGAAAAAGAAUCUCUGAGUACUAUGUGGUGACAUGUAUGUACUCGGAUAAUAAAUUUUACUUUGAACUUUUGUGGAGGACCUGGGAGCUCCAGAAGUCUAUUACUCCAAGGACUAUAUGCUGCUGUUGUCUUUGUUUCAAUGUUAAAGUUCUCUGACAUAUCUCUUAAUUCAUCUUUAAUAAAAUCACCACCAUUAUCACUGAAUAAAACAUAGAAACAUAGAAAACCCUCAGCACAAUACUGGCCCUCCGGCCCACAAAGUUGUGCCGAACAUGUCCCUACCUUAGAAAUUACUAGACUUCCCCAUAGCCCUCUAUUUUUCUAAGCUCCACGUACCUAUCCAAAAGUCUCUGAAAAGACCCUAUUGUAUCAGCCUCCAUCACCAUUGCUGGCAGCCCAUUCCAAACACUCACCACUCUCUGAGUAAAAAACUUACCCCUGACAUCUCCUCUGUACCUACUCCCCAGCACCUUAAACCCAUGUCCUCUUGUGGAACCAUUUCAGCCCUGGGAAAAAGCCUCUGAUUUUUCACAUGAUCAGUGCCUCUCAUCAUCUUGUACACCUCUAUCAGGUCACCUCUCAUCCUCUGUCGCUCCAAGGAGAAAAGGCCGAGUUCACUCAAUCUGUUUUCAUAAGGCAUGCUCCACAAUCCAGGCAACAUCCUUGUAAAUCUCCUCUACACCCUUUCUGUGGCUUCCACAUCCUUCCUGUAAUGAGGCGACCAGAACUGAGCACAGUACUCCAAGUGGGGUCUGACCAGGGUCCUUAAAUGAAUACUUUACAUAGUGGGGCAUGCACACUUAUCCAGGAAUGGAUGAAGUUUUUUUUUAACCAUCUCUGAGGGUCUCUGUAUUUACUAUGCUACCAGCACUGAAACGUGUGAACUCAUAAAUGAUGUGGAGAUACCAUACUCCUUGCUCCAGUUCAUGUAACUCUAUGGCUACUGUUUCCUUGUAUUUCGAUGCUCGUGGAUGACCAACCACAGGCUUGGGCUUUGGUUUGCCAAACUUUUGGCACGUCUCACAGGUGUCAAUUAUCUGCUUUAGGAUGGAAAAAUAAUCUGUAACUUUGAAUUCCUGAGCAGUUUCUGAAGUCUAACAACUGACGCAUGUCAAAACUGCUUGUGAAGAUUGAGCAACACUUUACAUUUCUCAUCUAUGGUCAUGUUUGUGUGACAGUUAGUACUUCAUUCUCACACUGGUUCUCAAGUAGUGUUUACCUGGAAUGUUCACACAAUGAUGCCCAGAGCUAGUGAGCUUAAGACGCUGGCUGUUGAAACAUCAUUGCUUGGUCAUUCUCCAUAUCCAGCACUGCUCCUGCUUUCUUUAGGGAAGAGUUACUCAAGAGUAAUAGAUUUACUCAAGAUAGUUCACUGGUACCACCUCCAUUUCAAUGUAACAUUUUGUCUGCCCUAUUUUUUGCAGGGAUUUUCACUCUUUUGGUGGAAUGUACAAUCUUUCCAUCUCCAAAUUUGAAUGUUUUACUACUAAGUGAAUCUGUGUUCUCCAGUUUCUGCAUUUCAUUCUGGUCUAGUUCACUCACAUAGCUUUCAAGCCAUGUUUCUCUGCACACUUUGUGUGCGCGCAUGCUGUACCAACAACAGCAGAUCCUAGAGAUUCUAUCAUCAAGAUCUCUCCCUCAGAUGUCCCUGCAUUAGUAAGUGAUUCCUUCACAAACAAUGUGAUAUGGUUCUCUUCUACAUCUUCAGAUUUGUUCGUUUUCUUCAGUUAGCCUAACUUGUUCGGUUCCAUGUGGCCAGUUUCUUGCCCAAUGGUAAAUACUUUAACACAUUUCAAUUUCCUACUGUACUUGUGUGGUGAACUACAUAUACCUGUCUGGACACCCCCCCCCCCCCCAGCUGACUGCUCCUGUGGCUCCUCCCACGGACCCCGCUAUAAAGGCGAUUGGGGCCUGAGCUCCGGCCUCAGUCUCCAGGAUGUAGUGUGGUGGUCAAUUGCUGCUUGUUCUUUCUUCCAGCCAAUAUAAGCCUAUAUCUCGCCUCACGUCUCCGAGAGUUAUUGAUGGUGCAUCAACUUGUUUUUUGAAUUUGUUGCCAGAUAAUGGUACUUUUGUCUGGUCACUCUGGGAUCUAUGCUUGUUUCUGCUCAGUGAAGUAUGCUGUUUCCUGACUCAAACUAAUUCCGACUGUUGUCUUAAUGGGCUUUACUCCAAAAAUCCUCUUCAGUGCUGGUUUCAUAGAUGCAAAUGUAAGUUCUGUGCAUGCAGUUAAUGCUAGCUGUCUGUCCUUUAUAUCUAGACACACCGUUUCCAUCACUUUUCAAGCUAAUACAGUGUCAGCAAAUUACAUUUUGUAUUUACACAUACGACUGUACUUUUCAAAAUCAAUAAUAUAAUCAGCCAUAUUUUUAGAAUUGUCUCUAUAAAUUUUGUCAAAGUCUGAAUAUUCCUCAUAAAUCCAAUUCUUCUUUUCAAUUUUGCUAAAACAGAGCCAAGUGUACAUAUUUAUUAGUGUUAUUCAUACCGUCAUCU